rnacentral:rRNA from 1 species
UACGUAGGGGGCAAGCGUUGUCCGGAUUUACUGGGCGUAAAGGGCGCGUAGGCGGGUGACCAAGUCCGGGGUGAAAUCUUUCGGCUUAACCGGAAAAGUGCCUUGGAUACUGGUCGCCUGGAGGGAGGUAGGGGCAUGUGGAACUUCCGGUGGAGCGGUGAAAUGCGUUGAUAUCGGAAGGAACGCCGGUGGCGAAAGCGACGUGCUGGCCCUCUUCUGACGCUGAGGCGCGAAAGCCAGGGGAGCAAACGGG